CAGUAGCCGCGGGAAAACGGAGGGUGCAAGCGUUAAUCGGAAUUACUGGGCGUAAAGCGCACGCAGGCGGUCUGACAAGUCAGAUGUGAAAUCCCCGGGCUUAACCUGGGAACUGCAUUUGAAACUGUCAGGCUGGAGUCUUGUAGAGGGGGGUGGAAUUCCAGGUGUAGCGGUGAAAUGCGUAGAGAUCUGGAGGAAUACCGGUGGCGAAGGCGGCCCCCUGGACAAAGACUGACGCUCAGGUGCGAAAGCGUGGGGAGCAAACAGGAUUAGAUACCCGAGUAGUUGUCUCUUAUACACA
rnacentral:rRNA from 1 species